CCUUGACAUACUAAGAACUUUCCAGAGAUGGAUUGGUGCCUUCGGGAACUUAGAUACAGGUGCUGCAUGGCUGUCGUCAGCUCGUGUCGUGAGAUGUUGGGUUAAGUCCCGCAACGAGCGCAACCCUUUUCCUAUUUGCCAGCGGGUCAUGCCGGGAACUUUAAGGAUACUGCCAGUGACAAACUGGAGGAAGGCGGGGACGACGUCAAGUCAUCAUGGCCCUUACGGCCAGGGCUACACACGUGCUACAAUGGUCGGUACAAAGGGUUGCUACCUCGCGAGAGGAUGCUAAUCUCAAAAAGCCGAUCGUAGUCCGGAUCGCAGUCUGCAACUCGACUGCGUGAAGUCGGAAUCGCUAGUAAUCGCGGAUCAGAAUGCCGCGGUGAAUACGUUCCCGGGCCUUGUACACACCGCCCGUCACACCAUGGGAGUUUGUUGCGCCAGAAGUAGGUAGUCUAACCGCAAGGAGGACGCUUACCACGGUGUGGCCGAUGACUGGGGUGAAGUCGUAACAAGGUAGGCGUAGAUGA
rnacentral:rRNA from 1 species